GGAUUGCAGGCUGCAACCCGCCUGUAUGAAGUUGGAAUCGCUAGUAAUCGCGGAUCAGCAUGCCGCGGUGAAUACGUUCCCGGGCCUUGUACACACCGCCCGUCACACCAUGAGAGUCGGGAACACCCGAAGUCCGUAGCCUAACCGCAAGGGGGGCGCGGCCGAAGGUGGGUUCGAUAAUUGGGGUGAAGUCGUAACAAGGUAUC
rnacentral:rRNA from 1 species